rnacentral:rRNA from 1 species
GACGAACGCUGGCGGCGUGCCUAACACAUGCAAGUCGAGCGAGGAACUUCGGUUCCUAGCGGCGGACGGGUGAGUAACACGUGGGUAACCUGCCUCAUAGUGGUGGAUAGCCCUCCGAAAGGAGGAUUAAUACCGCAUCAGAAGUAAGAAUCGCAUGAUUCUAGCUUUAAAGGAGUAUUCUUCUUACGAAGAAGCAUCCGCUAUGAGAGGGCCCCGCGGGGCAUUAGCUAGUGGGGAAGGUAACGGCUCGCCAAGGCCACGAUGCGUAGCCGACCUGAGAGGGUGAUCGGCCACAUUGGAAGUGAGGUACGGUCCAGACUCCUACGGGAGGCAGCAGUGGGGAAUAUUGCACAAUGGGCGAAAGCCUGAUGCAGCAACGCCGCGUGAGUGAUGAAGGCCUUCGGGUUGUAAAGCUCUGUCUUUUGGGACGAUAAUGACGGUACCAAAGGAGGAAGCCACGGCUAACUACGUGCCAGCAGCCGCGGUAAGAC